rnacentral:rRNA from 1 species
CCCUUAGAUGUCCUGGGCCGCACGCGCGCUACACUGAUGCAUUCAACGAGUUUUACCUUGGCCGAGAGGCCUGGGCAAUCUUUUAAACCUGCAUCGUGAUAGGGAUAGAUUAUUGCAAUUAUUAAUCUUGAACGAGGAAUUCCUAGUAAACGCAGAUCAUCAAUCUGCAUUGAUUACGUCCCUGCCCUUUGUACACACCACCCGUCGCACCUACCGAUUGAAUGGUCCGGUGAAGCCUCGGGAUUGUGGCCAGUUCACUUUAUUGGGAGUUGGCUGCGAGAACUUGUCUAAACCUUAUCAUUUAGAGGAAGGUGAAGUCGUAACA